UGAAGUGCACACCACAGCAACCAAUAUGAUCCUGUUUCAGGUUUUUUUGAAUUCACCAUCAUCAUCAGUAGAAGUGUCCAGCAACGACGAUGGAACUUUGCACAAGCACAGAUUUCCACCCAGACCUUCGUGUUGUCUGUGCUGGGUUUAUUUUUUGAAUGAAGUGAGUCAUGGACCUGUUGGAGCACAUCUAGAGGAGGGCCACAAAAAUGAUCCAAGGAAUGGAGCGCUUCUCCAAUGAAGGCAGGUUGAAGGAGCUGGUCUUGUACAGCCUGGAGAAGAGAAGGCUCAGGGGAGACCUGAGAGCAGCUUUUUGGUGUCUAAAUGGGUACUGUAAGAAAGGACAGACUCUUUAACAGGCUCUGUUGUGAUAGGACAAAGGAAAAUGAUUUCAAGCUAAAAGAGAUUUAGAUUGGACAUAAGGAAGAAGUUUCUUACAAUAAUGUUGGUAAAGCACUGGAAUGGGUUGCCCAGAGAGGUGGUGGAUACUCUGUCGUCUUGGAGUCCUUCUAGGUCAGGCUGGAAGAAGCUCUGAGCAACUUGAUCUAGCUAUAAGUGUCCCUGUUCAUUGCAGGGGAGUUGAACUGGAUGGCCUUUAAGGGUCCCCUCCAACUCAAAUGAUUCUGUGAUUCUAUGACUUCCUCAUCCAGGGGUUGGAGGAGACAACAAGGAGAGGUGCUCUGCUGGGAGAAACACUACCUGACUGAAUCAUUUACCUCAGACACG
rnacentral:lncRNA from 1 species